rnacentral:rRNA from 1 species
GACGAACCGUGCAAACGUUAUUCGGAAUCACUGGGCUUAAAGCGUGCGUAGGCGGCUCAGAAAGUUGGGUGUGAAAUCCCUCGGCUCAACCGAGGAAUUGCGCCCAAAACUACUGAGCUUGAGGGAGUUAGAGGUGAGCGGAACUCACGGUGGAGCGGUGAAAUGCGUUGAUAUCGUGAGGAACACCGGAGGCGAAAGCGGCUCACUGGGGCUUCUCUGACGCUGAGGCACGAAAGCUAGGGGAGCAAACGGG